rnacentral:lncRNA from 1 species
GCGCCUCCCUGGAGGCGCCCGCUCCUGCCCGGAGCCCUGCCCGUCUUGGGCCCGCCCUUCCGGGCCCUGCCGCGUUGAGUGGCGGAGUCGGGAUCCAGGUGGCCCGCCGGCCGGCUCAGUCCACCUCCCCGCUCCCGGCCUCGCGCCCCACCCCUUGGAUGAGAAAACUGAAACUGAGAGGGGACGUGACUGAUCCAACGCCUGGCAUUUCCAGCUCCGGAGCCCGCCACAAGAAGCUCCUAGCCCCACAUGAUGUGAAUGCACUGGGCCCCAGCCAGGAAGUGGAGACCCGUGAAGGAAGGAAUAGCAGCACUCUCCCAGCCAGCAGCAGCAGUUUCCCUUCCUCUUUCCUUCCCUGCCUGUGUGGGCCGUUCCCCCAUAGCAGCUCUAAUUUGAGAUGCCAGAGCCUGACCCGGAAUGGGGGCCCAACUCAGUGUCCCCUUCUCGGACAGCACAGUGGUCCCUGCAGUCCAUGCGCCAUCUGUCUCUUUGCCUCAGUUCUCCCCUGUGCCAUGACCUCCCAUCAGGGCCGGCAUAGGGGGCAUCAGGAGAAUGGGUGCAGUUGUCACCUGGAAACCUCAAAAUUCUUGGGGCCCAGUCAUGGUCACUAUACAGCAGCCACCCCUGUCCCCAAACACUGAAGGUGAGCCCCGUCCAUGCUCCCCAGGAGGCCAGGCUGCCAUCAGACCCAGCCUGCCCCAGGCCCAUGUACAGGGCCGUCCCAGGGCAGGAGGGUAGUGGACCAGCCUGUGGGUCCCUGCAGGCCUCUCAUC